CAGUAGCCGCGGGAAUACGGAGGGGGCUAGCGUUGUUCGGAAUUACUGGGCGUAAAGCGCACGUAGGCGGCUUGGUAAGUUAGAGGUGAAAGCCCGGAGCUCAACUCCGGAAUUGCCUUUAAGACUGCCGAGCUAGCAGGUGAGAGAGGUAAGUGGAAUUCCGAGUGUAGAGGUGAAAUUCGUAGAUAUUCGGAAGAACACCAGUGGCGAAGGCGGCUUACUGGCUCAUACUGGACGCUGAGGUGCGAAAGCGUGGGGAGCAAACAGGAUUAGAUACCCCGGUAGUCCCUGUCUCUUAUAC
rnacentral:rRNA from 1 species